rnacentral:rRNA from 1 species
CUUAACCGGGCGUUAAGUUGCAGGGUAUAGACCCGAAACCCGGUGAUCUAGCCAUGGGCAGGUUGAAGGUUGGGUAACACUAACUGGAGGACCGAACCGACUAAUGUUGAAAAAUUAGCGGAUGACCUGUGGCUGGGGGUGAAAGGCCAAUCAAACCGGGAGAUAGCUGGUUCUCCCCGAAAGCUAUUUAGGUAGCGCCUCGUGAAUUCAUCUCCGGGGGUAGAGCACUGUUUCGGCUAGGGGGCCAUCCCGGCUUACCAACCCGAUGCAAACUGCGAAUACCGGAGAAUGUUAUCACGGGAGACACACGGCGGGUGCUAACGUCCGUCGUGAAGAGGGAAACAACCCAGACCGCCAGCUAAGGUCCCAAAGUCAUGGUUAAGUGGGAAACGAUGUGGGAAGGCCCAGACAGCCAGGAUGUUGGCUUAGAAGCAGCCAUCAUUUAAAGAAAGCGUAAUAGCUCACUGGUCGAGUCGGCCUGCGCGGAAGAUGUAACGGGGCUAAACCAUGCACCGAAGCUGCGGCAGCGAACGUAUCACUUAAAGCGAUUCAGCGGGUUACGAUUGACGGAGCGAAGCGACGUCAAAGCGUAUACAAAGUCGAGUCGGUUUAAGGAUACGUUCGUUGGGUAGGGGAGCGUUCUGUAAGCCUG